rnacentral:rRNA from 1 species
UACGAAGGGGGCGAGCGUUGUUCGGAUUUACUGGGCGUAAAGGGCGCGCAGGCGGUCAUUUUUGUCGAGUGUGAAAGCCCCGGGCUUAACCUGGGAACUGCGCUCGAAACGGGAUGACUAGAGAUCGGGAGAGGAGAGUGGAAUUCCCAGUGUAGAGGUGAAAUUCGUAGAUAUUGGGAAGAACACCGGUGGCGAAGGCGGCUCUCUGGACCGAGACUGACGCUGAGGCGCGAAAGCUAGGGGAGCAAACAGG